UACGGAGGGUGCGAGCGUUGUCCGGAAUCACUGGGCGUAAAGGGCGCGUAGGUGGCCCGUCAAGCGCGCGGUGAAAGCCCGGGGCUCAACUGGGGAGGGUCACGCGAUACUGAUCGACUCGAAGGCAGGAGAGGGAAGUGGAAUUCCCGGUGUAGUGGUGAAAUGCGUAGAUAUCGGGAGGAACACCAGUGGCGAAGGCGACUUCCUGGCCUGUUCUUGACGCUGAGGAGCGAAAGCGUGGGGAGCGAACAGG
rnacentral:rRNA from 1 species